UACAGAGGUCUCAAGCGUUGUUCGGAUUCAUUGGGCGUAAAGGGCGCGUAGGCGGCAAUUCAAGUCAUCUGUGAAAUCUCCGGGCUUAACCCGGAACGGUCAGAUGAUACUGCUUUGCUAGAGUGCAGAAGGGGCAAUCGGAAUUCUUGGUGUAGCGGUGAAAUGCGUAGAUAUCAAGAGGAACACCUGAGGUGAAGACGGGUUGCUGGGCUGACACUGACGCUGAGUGCGCGAAAGCCAGGGGAGCAAACGGG
rnacentral:rRNA from 1 species